rnacentral:rRNA from 1 species
ACACUCCUACGGGAGGCAGCAGUGGGGAAUAUUGGACAAUGGGCGCAAGCCUGAUCCAGCCAUGCCGCGUGAGUGAUGAAGGCCCUAGGGUUGUAAAGCUCUUUCACCGGUGAAGAUAAUGACGGUAACCGGAGAAGAAGCCCCGGCUAACUUCGUGCCAGCAGCCGCGGUAAUACGAAGGGGGCUAGCGUUGUUCGGAUUUACUGGGCGUAAAGCGCACGUAGGCGGACUAUUAAGUCAGGGGUGAAAUCCCGGGGCUCAACCCCGGAGCUGCCUUUGAUACUGGUAGUCUUGAGUUCGAGAGAGGUGAGUGGAAUUCCGAGUGUAGAGGUGAAAUUCGUAGAUAUUCGGAGGAACACCAGUGGCGAAGGCGGCUCACUGGCUCGAUACUGACGCUGAGGUGCGAAAGCGUGGGGAGCAAACAGGAUUAGAAACCCCGGUAGUCCC